AGUCAAUGAACUUGUAUAAGUGUAUACCUUGAAAGUAUAAAAAAGAAAUUAUUUUUCUAUUGACUU
rnacentral:tRNA from 1 species